UAUAUUUUAGUAUAAGAUGUACAAAAGUGUUUGAUACUUUUAGAAAUAGUUUAACUCUAUUAAAUAUAA
rnacentral:tRNA from 1 species